ensembl:lncRNA novel transcript, antisense to ATP8B1
UCUUCCGUGACCCACGACUUCUAAUAGAGCUAUAACACUCACCGCACGGCCCAAGAUUCCAUUCCUUGGAAUCCGUGAGGCCAAGAACCCCAGGUCAGAGAACACGAGGCUUGCCACCAUCUUGGAAGUGGCCUGCCGCCAUUUUGGAAGUGGCCCACCACCAUCUUGGGAGCUCUGGGAGCAAGGACCCCUGCCUCCUGGGCUCAAGCAAUUCUCCCACCUCAGCCUCCUGAGUAGUUGAGACUAUAGGCAUCUGGAUAUUAAGACUGUCUCCAGCCCUUUGAGGUUGAGAGAGGAAGCAAGCACGGAGGAAUGGAUUUGACAACCCACAUGUCCGUGACUCAAAGCAAGCAAGGCCUUGCACAACCAACUCGCCACCCACACAAUCUGCACAGUCUCAGUGAGAAAGCAGGAGCAGGGAGCUCUCCGCUGAGAGUGAAGAAAUGUCCUCAACUCGACUUCUCUGCAGUGUGCAUGUGUGUGAAACACAGACACACACGGGAGGAAUUUGGCUCUGUCAUUUUAGUGUACC